AGGAGUGUAGCUUGGUGGUAAAGUGCCUGCCUGGCAUGCACAAGGCCCUGGGUUCAAUCCCUAGGAUCCUA
rnacentral:tRNA from 1 species